rnacentral:rRNA from 1 species
CCUACGGGCGGCAGCAGUGAGGAAUAUUGGUCAAUGGCCGCGAGGCUGAACCAGCCAAGUCGCGUGAGGGAAGACGGCCCUACGGGUUGUAAACCUCUUUUGUCGGGGAGCAAAGCGAACCACGUGUGGUUCAUUGAGAGUACCCGAAGAAAAAGCAUCGGCUAACUCCGGGCCAGCAGCCGCGGUAAUACGGAGGAUGCGAGCGUUUUCCGGAUUUUUUGGGUUUGAAGGGUGCGCAGGCGGAGGUGGAAGGCGGGGGUCAAAUUGUGGGGCUCAACCCCGUACUGCCGUUGAAACUGCAUCCCUUGAGUGCGCGAGAAGUAUGCGGAAGGCGUGGUGUAGCGGUGAAAUGCAUAGAUAUCACGAAGAACUCCGAUUGCGAAGGCAGCAUACCGGCGCGCAACUGACGCUCAUGCACGAAAGCGUGGGUAUCGAACAGGAUUAGAUACGGUAGUC